UACGUAGGGGGCAAGCGUUGUCCGGAUUUAUUGGGCGUAAAGCGCUCGCAGGCGGUUCAUUGCGUCGUGCGUGAAAGACCCCGGCUCAACUGGGGAGGGUCGUGCGAAACGGGUGAACUAGAGGCCAGUAGGGGGAUGUGGAAUUCCGGGUGUAGUGGUGGAAUGCGUAGAGAUCCGGAGGAACACCAGCGGCGAAGGCGGCAUCCUGGACUGGUCCUGACACUCAGGAGCGAAAGCGUGGGGAGCGAUCCGG
rnacentral:rRNA from 1 species